rnacentral:rRNA from 1 species
UGGGGAAUAUUAGGCAAUGGGCGAAAGCCUUACCUAGCAACGCCGCGUGAGGGAAGAAGGUCUUCGGAUUGUAAACCUUUGUCCUAUGGGAAGAAAAAAAUGACGGUACCAUGGGAGGAAGCCACGGCUAACUACGUGCCAGCAGCCGCGGUAAUACGUAGGUGGCAAGCGUUAUCCGGAAUUACUGGGUGUAAAGGGUGCGUAGGCGGGAUCGUAAGUCAGGUGUGAAAUACCGUUGCUUAACAACGGGGCUGCAUUUGAUACUGCGAUUCUUGAGUGGAGGAGAGGCAAGCGGAAUUCCGAGUGUAGCGGUGAAAUGCGUAGAUAUUCGGAGGAACACCGGUGGCGAAGGCGGCUUGCUGGACUCUAACUGACGCUGAGGCACGAAAGUGUGGGGAGCAAACA